rnacentral:lncRNA from 1 species
GGGGACUCAGUUGCCUUCUUGGGAACACCAAUCCUAGAGGCUCAUUGGCUAGGAAAAGUGAAGGGCUGCAGUUCUGGAAGCUCCCAGAAGAGGGAGCUUGGGGGCAGAGUUAGGGCUGGAGCUGCAUUUAGGAAGGUUUUAUUUCCACCUCCCCCCACUUUGGGGCAUGGAAGCCUCUGGCAACUUGACACUGGAGAGAUCAGCUGCACCCAUCCUGGAAGCAAGCUGUGUCCUCACAUGCUCCACCCACAGGUGAGCCCCCAUCCCAUCCAGUCCUCCGUUGGGAGCUCGUGCAAUAUCCUGGAGAGGAAUCUGGGGAUCUGAUGAUCCUGUCAGGGACUUGGCUGCAGAUGGCUCUGAGGCCUGGGUGUGGGGGUUCCGGCCCUUUGGGGAGACCUGCCCUUCGUGCACUUGCUUUGGGAGCAGAGAAAGAAGGACCAGACUGAUCUGAGCUUCUGUCAGGGGUCCUAAGAGGCCGUGGCCAUGGCCAGGGGCCCUGUGCUUCUGUCACCAGACACCAGGGCAUUCACGGGAGCAAAGCCAAGGCUAGAAAUGGAGGGCACAGAAGGUACAUUUACUAUGAGGAAAUCCCCUGUCUAGGACAGGCUUAUGUUGGGAGUUGUUGUUUAUUAUAUGACAACUGUGAGAAAGAAAAAAGAAAGUAAUGCAAUGCCCAACUCCACAAUGAUAUCCAAGAGGAUAUAAUUUGUGUCACUGAUAUUAUCAUUAAAAGAAGCUGAAAAUGACAUUUUAAAGAGCUCAAGAGCCAGGUGAGGUCUUAGGGGCCUGGAGGUGGAUGGGGGGCACAAGAGGACAACCCUGUAGGAAACAAGCCACAUACAGUCCAGGGGCAUCCACACCCCUCUGUCUCCUCAGCUCCACCUCCCCCCAUUCUGCUCCAUGAGGCCCUCAGACUGGAGUCUAAACGCCAGUGUUGACAAACAGGCUUAGAAAAAAAAAUGCCAAGCUCGUUAGAAGGAGCUCAUUAGGACUUGUUGACAUGAAACCCAUU